GAUGAAGAACGCAGUGAAAUGCGAUAAGUAAUGUGAAUUGCAGAAUUCAGUGAAUCAUCGAAUCUUUGAACGCACAUUGCGCCCGCUAGUAUUCUGGCGGGCAUGCCUGUACGAGCGUCAUUUCAACCAUCAAGCCCUGUUUAGGCUUGUGUUGGGGUCCUGCGGUUGCCGCAGCCCCCUAAAUGCAGUGGCGGGCUCGUUGUCACUCCGAGCGCAGUAGCGUAUCUCGCUCUGGGCGUGGCGGCGGGUGCUAGCCGUGAAACACCCACUAAGGUUGACCUCGGAUCAGGUAGGAAUACCCGCUGAACUUAAGCAUAUCAAUAAGCGGAGGA
rnacentral:misc_RNA from 1 species